rnacentral:rRNA from 1 species
GACGAACGCUGGCGGCGUGCUUAACACAUGCAAGUCGAACGGAAAGGCCCUGCUUGCAGGGUACUCGAGUGGCGAACGGGUGAGUAACACGUGGGUGAUCUGCCCUGCACUUCGGGAUAAGCCUGGGAAACUGGGUCUAAUACCGGAUAGGAGCCAUUUUUAGUGUGAUGGUUGGAAAGUUUUUUCGGUGUAGGAUGAGCUCGCGGCCUA